rnacentral:ncRNA from 1 species
AGUCUUCAGGGCGGGGCGUAAUUCCCCACCGGCGGUGAGUCAAUCAAGACAAGCCCGCGAGCUUUUGUGGUUUAAAAUAGCAGAUUUGGUGAGAUUCCAAAGCCGACGGUUAAAGUCCGGAUGAAAGAAGAUG